rnacentral:tRNA from 1 species
UCCCUGGUGGCUCAGAUGGUAAAGCAUCUGCCUACAAUGCGGGAGACCCGGGUUCGAUCCCUGGUCGGGAGA